UACGUAGGGUGCGAGCGUUGUCCGGAAUUAUUGGGCGUAAAGGGCUCGUAGGCGGUCUGUCACGUCGGGAGUGAAAACUCGGGGCUCAACCCCGAGCCUGCUUCCGAUACGGGCAGACUAGAGGUAUACAGGGGAGAAUGGAAUUCCUGGUGUAGCGGUGAAAUGCGCAGAUAUCAGGAGGAACACCGGUGGCGAAGGCGGAUCUCUGGGCCGUGCCUGACGCUGAGGCGCGAAAGCUAGGGGAGCGAACAGG
rnacentral:rRNA from 1 species